UUAAGAUUAAAGUUAUGAAUUAAAUAAUUUUUAAAAAUCAAGAUACAUGACAAUAUAAAUAUAUUCAAUAUGUGUUCAAAAAAUAAAGAUAUCCAGUAUUUAUUUUUUAUGGACAUAAAUUUUUUUUGAAUCAAUGGACAUAAAUUUAAUACUAAUAAAAUUUAGUACUGAAAAUUUAACAUUAAGUUUGAUAACCCCAAACCCCAUUGUGACGCAAGUUCAAUGUGCAUGUUAGCGACUGUCCCCUCCUUCCCUUCCUGCCCAGAGCCAGAGAACUGGGAUUAUAAUCGUGACCAUGUUGACGGUGGCCCUAUUAGCGGAAGUGGCGGUGGUGAUGAUGAGCUGCCUCAAGAGCAUCAACUCUAGUUAGUUAGCACCAACUUCAAUAGCCUUUAUAUAAACAGAAGCCGCCGACAAACCACCAGGUGCCACCAAUUUUCUCUCCUGCCAAACGGUCGGAAAAAUUCAGCUUAGCCGACAGUCCACGUAGGUAAAAACCGCCUAUCAUAAGCUCUAGACGCCGCAAGAGGUGUAGCACCGUUUCCUCAAGUCCCCAACUUUCUCAUCCUUAUCACUUUGUACGGCCGUUCGACAAAUUCUAUGUUUCUCAGCUUUGGGCGCUCUUUUUUCUUAAUCCCAA
rnacentral:lncRNA from 1 species